UACGAAGGGGGCUAGCGUUGUUCGGAAUUACUGGGCGUAAAGCGUGCGCAGGCGGUUAUUUCAAGCCAGACGUGAAAGCCCCGGGCUUACCACUGGGAAUGGCUGUUGGACUGGAUAGCUAGAGUACGGCAGAGGGAGGUGGAAUUCCACGUGUAGCAGUGAAAUGCGUAGAGAUGUGGAGGAACACCGAUGGCGAAGGCAGCCUCCUGGGCCAGUACUGACGCUCAUGCACGAAAGCGUGGGGAGCAAACAGG
rnacentral:rRNA from 1 species